CCUACGGGAGGCAGCAGUGAGGAAUAUUGGUCAAUGGGCGCGAGCCUGAACCAGCCAAGUAGCGUGAAGGAUGACUGCCCUACGGGUUGUAAACUUCUUUUAUAAAGGAAUAAAGUGAGGCACGUGUGCCUUUUUGUAUGUACUUUAUGAAUAAGGAUCGGCUAACUCCGUGCCAGCAGCCGCGGUAAUACGGAGGUUCCGAGCUUUAUCCGGAUUUAUUGGGUUUAAAGGGAGCGUAGAUGGAUUGUUAAGUCAGUUGUGAAAGUUUGCGGCUCAACCGGAAACUUGCAAUGCAUACUGGCGUUCUGGAGUCGGCGGAAGGUAGGCGGAAUGCGUGGUGUAGCGGUGAAAGGCUUAGAUAUGACGAAGAACCCGGAUUGCGAAGGCAGCUUAAUAAAGCGCCACUGACGUUGAUGCUCGAAAGCGCGGGUAUCAAACAGGAUUAGAUACCCGUGUAGUC
rnacentral:rRNA from 1 species